AACGCCGUGCAACGCCGUGCAACGCACCUGCGCGGAACCAGAGGCAUUUCACAGCGUAACACGGCGUG
rfam:Gallus gallus isolate RJF #256 breed Red Jungle fowl, inbred line TCD001 chromosome 5, whole genome shotgun sequence.